rnacentral:lncRNA from 1 species
AUAGUAUAAACUAAAUUUAGGAGUUGAUGUAUCACGUGAUUUAUUUAUACACUCUUUAUAUCAAAAAAAAGCUCCACAAUAUUGACAUUCAUGUUUAAGUUCUCCAAUAUUUAAUAAUUUACUGUGUAUAUCAUGUAAUAAUGGCAAUAGAAUCAAAAGAUAUUUCGGAUUAAAUUGUAUAAGGUGAAAGAUCUAUUGUUCAACAACUUAUUGGAAUAUCUAGAAGGAGUUGUAGUACGGGAAUUUGGUUCAACUAUAUGUAUAUUUGU